GUUGGUAGAGCGGAGGACUGUAGUGG
rnacentral:piRNA from 1 species